rnacentral:rRNA from 1 species
UACGGAGGGUGCGAGCGUUAUUCGGAAUUACUGGGCGUAAAGCGCGUGCAGGCGGGGAGGCAAGUCUGAUGUGAAAGCCCUGGGCUUAACCCGGGAAGUGCAUUGGAAACUGUCUUUCUUGAGUACUGGAGAGGAAGGGGGAAUUUCCGGUGUAGAGGUGAAAUGCGUAGAGAUCGGGAGGAAUACCAGUGGCGAAGGCGCCCUUCUGGACGGUUACUGACGCUGAGACGCGAAAGCGUGGGGAGCAAACAGG